UGGCCAAAUGUCGAUGUUUUUUUUUCGUAUCAGUUUGAUUCGGUGCGGUCCUGUAAAGUCGCACAUUUGCGCUCGAAAAAAUCCACUUUAAUAUUGUCACUAUUUCCUUGUCAAACGGUCGUAUCGGAGCAUUUCUCGAAUACGCUCCGACUUUAAUAAAAGUUUUUAUUAUUUUCUUUAAUUUCUUUUUCGGGCUAAUUCAAUUUUUUUUUUGUGAAAAUGGUGCUCAACGGAAUAGGCUUCCAAGCCCUGCACGUCGCGCAAGCACCAUAGACCAUACAAAAUGUUCGCCGUGAUGCAAAUCGACGAGGAUCAUACACGGGACUUUAGGCGUAAACUGCGCCCCAAGUGCGAAUUCGUUUGCAAGUACUGCCAGCGCAGAUUCACCAAGUCUUACAACUUGAUGAUACACGAGCGCACCCAUAAGAGCCCGGAGCUGAACUUCAGCUGCGAGGUCUGUGGGAAAAGUUUCAAGCGGCAGGAUAACUUGCGUCAACACAGAUGUAGUCAAUGCUUGUGGCGGUGAAGGUGAUGAAGUUUGCACGAUCCAACAACAGCGGUCUCUCUAACAUCAUGCAAGAAACACAUCAAUCCAACAAAUGAGACUACGUGUAGGUGGUGAUGACAUCACUAAAGCUAUGACGUCACACAUCACUUAAUUCAACAUUUUACACUACAGUAUUCGUGCCUUCAUUAACACCGCCAGAAUGGGAAAUUGCAAUUAUUGUAACACCAACACUUCACUAUCAAAGAUGUUAUACUUUCAGAUACCAAAUUCGAGCUAUAAAUAACCAAGACACCAAUUUUUAAAUCAAAACAAAUAAAGAACAUUUUAACGGUUUUUAAAUAUGCACAUGACUGUACUUUGGUGUGCUUUAGCAUGUUAGAAACACUUUAAUAUUCUAAAACUAUAAAGAACAAUAAAUUUCUUUAUAUUAAGUUAGUUGAAAAAAAAAAACGGUAUCUGGAAAUAUAUGAAAUCAAACAUCGAGAUUUGUAAUCGGUACUUAUCCAUUUCAAUGUAAAACACAUUCUGGUGAUUUUGUAAAUAGUAUUUAUUAGAGUAAGCGACGGUAGCAUUUAAACAUUUAACCGCUUAGCUAUUUUAUAAUGUAAUAUAAUAUUUAUAAAAUAUUUAAAAUAUUGUUAUAAUUAUUAUAAGCUUUGAUACGUGCAACGUACAUACAAUAUUGCAUUAAUACUUUUUAUUCUCAUUCCAUGUUUAAAAUAUUAUUUUUUAAACAUAUGUUCAUUGAAAUUAUCUUUUUAAUUUUGUAAUUAAUAGUUUAAAAUGUCAUUUAAUUUUCAAUGUUUUGGAAUUCAAUAGACCGUUACAUAAUUUAUGUUUGUCAAUUUUAAAUAGAAAAACAAUUGACGGUUAUACAAUGUUCGAAAUUGCUGAUAAUAUAUGGAGCGGGCGCACACUUUUGAAUAAACUAUCGCACAAUUGUUGUGCGAUUGUCGAUUGUUUAACGCCAAUUCAACU